AAUACCCAAGCAUUAAUAAUGCAUCUUUGAGAUAAAAUGAUUAUAAUUUACAAUCAAACCAAUAACAAAAAAUGUGACAAAAUGCAUGAUCGACUUCUGCUCCCCCCCUCUUGUGAUACUAAAAUGAGCUAUUCUGUUUUUGUUACAUAAAAAAAUCUAGGAAGUGCAGUGUGCUUGAGCAAGAGGCCCAUUGCAAGUGUGGGCAGGGAACUGGACUGGCUGAAGAAAGAACAAGUGAGUGCCGAGGAACAACAAUACAAGGAGGAGGAUUCACAUGAUGAGCUACAUUCUCUAUCCACACAUUACAGAAGACCAAUCCAUUUAUUCACUAUCCUGUACCUUCACAUUCAUAUGUUAUGUAAAUAACAUUAUGAAUUGACAAUUUAGAAAGGCGUCUUGCUGUCCGUCACCUUUCAUCCAGUCUGGUUUCCUGUCCAUAUCUGCAAUGGGCCACCAUUACGAUUUGCACCUCUACCACCUCUCAAACACACUGACUUUUCCACAGUGCUCCAACUCCGCUCUGUCAUAGGAGUAUCCAACAUGACUCUAAAAGAAUUGUAAUAUAAAGUAAUUAAAAACUGCUAAUUUAGGAAUAUAUUAUUUUUUUACUAUAUUGUUCACUUCUACC